GCACUUUCGUGCAUCCUAACCUUUUGUGCGUCGUUCACCCCCUUCGCAGGCUUCUAUGCCCCGGGUCCACAGUCCACACCCGCCGAGGCCACCCCCGUCCUCCCCCACGCGCCGCUCGCGUGAUGCUCGAAUCUACGCUCGCGAUGGUUAUGCCCCGCCGCUCGCUGCCCCAGCCCCCUCCCCUGCGUGCGUGCAUAAAAAGGGAGAGCGACGAUGGAAAUAUUCCGAGCAUGGCUUGAACACCUGGUCAAUGCUAGAUGAUCUGUUGGUUGAAAGACUAGCAAGCUGUCCAAGUGGAACUACGACGGAUCGAGCACCGGCCAAAUCCCAGCUGACACGGUGCGACACCUGCUCCUGAUCCCCUGAGCCGCCUCAUGGUACGAAGCUUCUAUUUUUCGAUUCGGUGGAGCUUUUGAUGCCCGUGAUGGGGAAAGUGGCGUCCUUGUGAAGUAAGGAGUAGAUGGGUGUAUUUGGACUUGGACAUAUUGAUCAAAUUGGAUGAUGCUUCGGUUACUGAAGGUUUGGUGGUUUAGUUCUGGUAGUAUUGCUGAUUUUUGGUUAUAGAAUAAUUAGUAUUUCGACUAUAUAGUUGUCCUUGGCGGCGAUUGGGAUUAGUUGGAGUAUUUGGUUUCAAUGUUCUUGGAAAAUAUAGUAGUCAUUCCCAAUUGAUGCUCUCUCUCUCUCUCUCUCUCUCUCUCUCUCUCUCUUGAUGUUAUUUUUAUUUGAGCGCAGGGGUGCAAUGUCAGAGUUUUCAUGUACCCAAGCAGCAUAUAUGAUUAGGAUCCACAAACCUCUGAUUUUCUCUAUUUUUUGGCUGGUUGAUGUUGAAUUGGUUGUUUGUGACUGAUAUGACAACUAAUUCGGUGGGGAAAUCCACCGGCCGGGUGGCGGAACGCACCCGCCCUAAUUCUAAGAUGAGGAGGGGGCCUAAGCGGUUGCCUGUCUGGUGAAUUCGGGAUGAACACGAGAGGACACGAGAGAUUAUAGUGGUUCAGGCCGCCUGAGCGUAAUACCCUACCUCCACUGUGUGUAAGUUGUAUUGAGUAUGUGUGAUUGAGUCUGUCCUUUGUAACGUUGUGUGUCUUCCCUUUUAUAGUUUAAGGGAGGCACAUACAAGAAUGCUGAGCCCCGACAUGCGGGCUCAGGAGCAUAAUGGAAUAAAUACAUUAUGUGAAUAACUAAUGCUGACAGAGUAACACAUGAGUAAUCAGCGGGAGCCAUGAUGGUUGCAGUCCAUGCAGCAUUGAUAGGUAGUAAUUCUUUUUCCGGUAACGCGGGAGUAAUAGUGAGUCAUUGCUCUCGGUAACGUGUGAGUAACUGCACGGCCAUGUAUCAUGGACUGAGCACGCCGCUUGUCAGUGGAAUGGACAGGCGCACGUCUUAACCGUAAUGAAUGCGAAGGCGCGCGUAGCCCAGAGGCGUCAUGCCAGGUUCUGCCCGUUGGCUUAUGCCGCGCGCAGUAUGCCAUGUGGCAGCAUCGGGUCUCCGCCUGAGCGGGGAGCAGGAGUGUAUGCGGAUAGGUCCAAAUCCCACCGGACCAAGUCUGGACGCGUGUCGGCUCUGGACCCCCGCCUGGGUCCUGAUUAAGGCCCGGGUAUGUUCUGUCCUGGAACCCUGGGACCCCUCUGUGGGCGGCCUGGACCCCACACGGGGGGGGGGGGGGGGGGUCUGGAUCCCAUUCUAGGGGUCCCGGUUCGCACACGUGGAGGUCCUGGGCCAAACUUGUAGGCCUGGACCGUAUAUACAGGGGUCCGGCACUCUCCCAUGGGGGUCCGGACUCACUGUUGAUGCCUUGGAGUACAUCACUUUCUCUGGACACGUGGCGGCCCCGGACCCGCCCAUGUGGUGGGGUCAGUCGCUGUUGCUGGCCCAGAGUAGUCGCCCGAGGCUGGGGCGAGUCAUGGCCUAGUUCCACAUACAACUCUUUUACCACGCGACUAGAGAUAGCCGCAUGGGUACUGCGUGUUUAUACAGUAGUAAGGGGUACCCUAGUUUUAGGGUACCGACAACUACAUAACCUGAAUUUUGUUGUAGUCCAUGGUCUAGGACUUUUAGGUGGUAAACACAUCAUAAUUUGUGGUUACAGUUAAUUUGUUUGUGAAUUGCAUAAGCAUGGUAGUUUUGAAAAUAGUUACUUGUCGCCCGUUCCAUAAUGAUUUAGUGGUGGAUUGAUUUUUCUGUUGGACAAGUUUAGUUUGAAUGCAAAUGGGUUGUACUUAUUGACGGACUGGUUUGGAUUGCAAGAGGAAACAGUUUGGUGUGGUCUUACAAUGGAUUUAUUUCUUUGGGGCCAAACUGUUUCAGCCCUCUGGUUUUGAUAGGGAAGAACAAAGGCAUGGUCACUACUUAGUUUUCCUUCCCCCUUUUUGCUACUCUGUUAGUUUGUUGGACCCAAAUUUUUAGUGGUACAUGUUUCAUAAUAUUAGCUGGUGUUUAAAUAUCUGAAGUAAUGUUUUGAUUUGCUUAUGUUUUAGUGAUGGGAGCAAGUUUUAGAAAUUGACCAAGCUAAUCACAUUCACACCAGUUAGUUACUUGGCAAUUAGCAUUUCCGUGUUUUCGCUUUUUGCUCUUGUGGAAAUCGGCACUAGACCACAUACCUAGAAGAAAAGAUGAUUAUGUAUUGUAGUAAAGAUUUUCCAUUCUUAAAUGCAUGUGAUACUCAAUCUUAGUGCUAAACAUCACUCGUGCAGGUGUGGACACGAGUUCUGCGCUACUCCUGUGGUCAUUGUUUGGAGAAGUUUUCCUAAAGCUUCUUUAUGUAUAUUCUUAGUCUUUUUUUAGAACAAUGUCAUAACCUACUAAUAGUUGUUUAUCACUAUAUUCUUUUGUUCCUACUAUUCCUUGAUAUGCCAGAUCUCAACUUUUGUGCUAAUAUACAUCUCUAGGCAUGUUGUAUGUGCAUCAUUUCAAAAAAAACACUUACCAAAAGAGUGGUCUGUACCAAACAUUUUGCCUUCAAGACUUCAACUCAUAACCUUGUAUAGUCUGAAAUCCUUAGGAUUGGUUCUGAACCUCAGUUUGAUGGAGGUGUUACAAAACUUAGAAGGGAUACUAAAUUUCUCUUUGUAGUAUGAGUGAACAGAAGUAGGAUUUGUCACAAUCUCACUAUUUUACCAAGCUAACCAAAUAACAAAUUUGGCCAGUAUGUAUGUGCAUCAUUUCAAAAAAAACUGUUACCAAAAGGGUGGUAUGUACCAAACAUUUUGCCUUCAAGGCUUCAACCCAUAACCUUGUACAGUCUGGAAUCCUUAGGAUUUGUACUGAACCUCAGUAGGUGUUACAGAACUUAGAAGAGAUACUGGAUUUCUCUUUGUAGUAGGAGUGAACAAAAGUAGGAUUUGUCACAAUCUCACACUUUUACCAAGCUAACUAAAUACCAAAAUUCGGCCAGUUACAGACAGUCAGACACUGAUCUUAACUUGCUCGAACAGUCUUAAACCUUUUUGUAUCAAAGGCUCAUAGCAUAUCAAACGCUUCUAAUGAAACCUUAACACACCGCAAGAAAACACCAAGCAUCGAAUUUGUUCAGUGUGUGUGAAGUAGUAGUGUAUGAUCAUGCCAUACAUAUUUUUCUACACAUCUCAAAUUCUAGAUUUAAUUUGGUUACAUGUUAUACAUGUAUCUUAGAUUUUUGAUAACUGGUCACAGAGCGGUUCAAAUUGAAUUUGACAUGGAGUUCAGAUGUCCUUUCAUAUUCUGUUACUGAGGUUAUUUCCAAAUAGUGAUUCAGAUCUAAUGAUUUUAUGAUGCAAUUUAUUCUACAACAUUUAAAUGCCAGAACGCUCAUUAGAGGCUGAACAUUUAAUGGUUAUAGGAUUAGGCCUAAAACGGCGUUUUGCAGCGAUUAAACGCUACAUUUUUUGUGUUUAAACGCUUUAAGCUAGAAAUGCUGUUGAUUUUGUGUAUUAUAUUUAGAGUAUGACAUUUUUCCAAGAUCUAUGUUUUAAAUGCAAGGAUAUUGAGAUUUUUUAGAUAUUUUAUUUUAAAUGCUAAUUCAUAUAUUUUUUUCCUUGCCGAAUGUAACCCCUAAGAAGACUGAAGAGACUGCUUUGAUAUCUGAUGUUGUUGCAAAUUCACCACAACAAGGUUUUCAUAGUGGGCAUUGCUGGAGUGAUCUCAUCUGAGAUGCUCCUACAAGUCCAACAAUCAGAAGCCCACUUUGUUCAAUGCUAGAUUUUGGCAUAACUCCUAAAAGAGGAGGCGCUUCUGCUCAUGCUAAGAAAGCAAGCUUUGACCGUGAAACCUAAUGGCAGAAAAGUCCUUCCUCCCCCAAGUCCCUAGAGCCUAGACGAAUGGCGCUGCAGCUCACUGUUCCUUCUUCAGUUCACUCAUGUAGUCCUAUUCAUGUAUGAGGUUUUUCCCUUUUAAAUUCAUAUGCAGAACAUGGUUUGAGCCUCCCAUCACUCAGUCCACACUGUAGUUGACAGACAUCAACUGUAUUUGUGGUUUUAAUAGUUUGUAUCAGGAGAGUGCAUCUUGAUUUACUAAAGUUAAUGUAGUCUCAAGUUUAUGUAUAAUCAGUUCUAAUCUUGUUUUUUAUUGAACAAUAUGUGUUUCUAGGUCCAUUAACCAGACUAAAGUAGUGCAUAUUUUAAAUUGAAUAUUUUUCUUCUUUUCGGUGAGAAGUGAAAAGUGGAAGACAUUUCAGUUCUGCACUUUGUAGUUGAAGUUAUCUUCCUGAUUGGAAGAUAAGGAAGGUUUGAGGAGCUCAUUUCUGAAGUUGUAGCUGGAAGGGAGAAGAGCUCAUGUUAAUGGUAUUUUGACUGCUCCAAAACACUUUCGACUUGUGAUAUUCUUUAACCUAUAUGCGUUGAAGAAUUUUUGGAGACAAAGCAUGCAAGCACAGAGUCUGCUCUGGUGGUAAGAUAAGUGAGGUGACUUCUGAAGAAGCCUACAGAGAAUGUAAAAAUAAGUGUGUUAUUUUCACUGCUUUGACACAGUCUCAAUUGUGCAAUGAUUUAUUAUCACAUUGUAAUUUGACAUAUGCUACAUGAUCCUAAAUUAUGUUGUAAUGAAUGUUCUACUCCCUAUGUGUAUUUGUUAGAUAGCUUGUCCAUGUUCUUAACUAUUUUUUGUAAGUGUGAAAGCAACUAGGCCCCUGGUUGGUUUUAGUGAUUAAUGACAAUGUAAUAUUA